AAUGGUUCUGCAAUAAUUUUUUGAUAUGGCCUCCAGUCCUCUCAUAUUAGCAUGAACACCCCCGAAUUUGACUUUCUUAAAUGUAAUGAGUUUCUUGUGACUUGCUUCUUUGUUCUAAACAAACGGAUUUCGGAUCCUUCUCCCCUUUUCCAUUGUUUUAUUCCAUUUCUCCUUUUCAAUGGACUUGGGUUAAUACGCCUGCAUGUUUUCCUAACAGGUACAACUCCAAAAAUUAUAUUUUGGAGUGGUCCAUACUUCUCAUUAACGACUCAAACCGCAGGUCAGCAUAAGCUGAAUUUUGUUUUAAUAUAUGGAACUCAAGUUUUUUCUACGCAAGUUUGCAGUGGCGUUUAUUUUCUAACUUCGUAUUGGCAAACUUUGCAAUAGAUCAAUGGAAUUUGUUGUUCCUCCUUCAGAUUCAUUAGUCUUUUUUCCGAUUUCAGUGUGUUUUACUGCUGCAAGUCCAUUUAGCGACCUAAAGGUCAUCACUAUCUUGCCCCUAAAAGGUGGACCAUCUCCCAAGUUUGCACAGAGGACGAUCCUAUCCAUAGAGAGCUACCAAGUGGCGUGACUUAUGCUUCAUAUUAUACAUUUCCGCACAUACGUUCUUUACGAAGACAGUUGUUGCCUCGUCUGGUACUCAAAUUUUGGGAUGAAUUGAUACUGGAUUGCUCUUCUCUAGGAAUUUAUUUCAUUUUUCCUGCCACAUCAUCGCAUCUCUGGAAUAUAGAUUAAUAUAGAGCUUGAUUGGCGAGCUU